GGCACGAUGGCAGAGUGGUUAUUGCGUAAGACUAGAAUAGUUCAACCUCUUCGGAGAAACAAAUCUUUCUGGAUCAUCUUAUUCCUUCGGGAGCGUAGGUUCAAGUCCUACUCGUGUCG
rnacentral:tRNA from 1 species